UGGGGAAUAUUGGACAAUGGGCGAAAGCCUGAUCCAGCCGUGCCGCGUGUGUGAAGAAGGUCUUCGGAUUGUAAAGCACUUCUAGUUGGGAGGAAGGGCAUUAACCUACUACGUUGGUGUCUUGACGUUACCGACAGAAUAAGAACCGGCUAACUCUGUGCCAGCAGCCGCGGUAAUACAGAGGGUGCAAGCGUUAAGCGGAAUUACUGGGCGUAAAGCGCGCAUAGGAGGUUUGUUAAGUUGAAUGUGAAAUCCCCGGGCUCAACCUGGUAACUGCAUCCAACACUGGCAAGCUAGAGUAUGGUAGAGGGUAGUGGAAUUUCCUGUGUAGCGGUGAAAUGCGUAGAUAUAGGAAGGAACACCAGUGGCGAAGGCGACUACCUGGACUGAUACUGACUCUGAGGUGCAAGAGCGUGGGGAGCAAAC
rnacentral:rRNA from 1 species